rfam:Tupaia chinensis contig227683, whole genome shotgun sequence.
CCAAAGGCCCUUUUUAGGGCCCACAGAGCGUCAAAGAGGAGCUGU